UACGAAGGGGGCUAGCGUUGCUCGGAAUUACUGGGCGUAAAGCGCACGUAGGCGGCUCUUUAAGUCGGGGGUGAAAUCCUGGAGCUCAACUCCAGAACUGCCUUCGAUACUGUAGAGCUUGAGUUCGGGAGAGGUGAGUGGAACUGCGAGUGUAGAGGUGAAAUUCGUAGAUAUUCGCAAGAACACCAGUGGCGAAGGCGGCUCACUGGCCCGGUACUGACGCUGAGGAGCGAAAGCGUGGGGAGCGAACAGG
rnacentral:rRNA from 1 species